rnacentral:rRNA from 1 species
UACGUAGGGUGCAAGCGUUGUCCGGAAUUAUUGGGCGUAAAGAGCUCGUAGGCGGUCUGUUGCGUCGGCUGUGAAAACCCGGGGCUCAACUCCGGGCCUGCAGCCGAUACGGGCAGACUAGAGUUCGGCGGGGGAGACUGGAAUUCCUGGUGUAGCGGUGAAAUGCGCAGAUAUCAGGAGGAACACCGGUGGCGAAGGCGGGUCUCUGGGCCGAUACUGACGCUGAGGAGCGAAAGCGUGGGGAGCGAACAGG